rnacentral:rRNA from 1 species
UACGAAGGGGGCUAGCGUUACUCGGAUUGACUGGGCGUAAAGGGCGCGUAGGCGGUUUGUACAUUCAGACGUGAAAUUCCUGGGCUCAACCUGGGGGCUGCGUUUGAUACGUGCAGACUUGAGUUCGGAAGAGGGUCGUGGAAUUCCCAGUGUAGAGGUGAAAUUCGUAGAUAUUGGGAAGAACACCGGUGGCGAAGGCGGCGACCUGGUCCGAUACUGACGCUGAGGCGCGAAAGCGUGGGGAGCAAACAGG